GGAUGCGAUCAUACCAGCACUAAUGCACCGGAUCCCAUCAGAACUCCGAAGUUAAGCGUGCUUGGGCGAGAGUAGUACUAGGAUGGGUGACCCCUGGGAAGCAUCCCCCACCCCUUUUU
rnacentral:rRNA from 1 species